rnacentral:misc_RNA from 1 species
GAAAUGCGAUAAGUAGUGUGAAUUGCAGAAUUCAGUGAAUCAUCGAAUCUUUGAACGCACAUUGCGCCCCUUGGUAUUCCAUGGGGCAUGCCUGUUCGAGCGUCAUUUGUACCCUCAAGCUAUGCUUGGUGUUGGGUGUUUGUCCCCGUCUCCGCGCGUGGACUCGCCCCAAAGUGAUUGGCAGCCGGCGUACUGGUCCCGGAGCGCAGCACAUGUCGCGCAAACGAGUGCCUUGGUACGGCGGCGUCCAUAAGCCCCUCUCUCACGCUCUUGACCUCGGAUCAGGUAGGGAUACCCGCUGAACUUAAGC